GGUGUGGCUGUCAGCUGGGAGGGAUCCCUCCGCCCAUGUAAACAUCAUAAAGGGCAAGGGGAGCGUCUGCUGCGGGCGGGGGAGCGGCUGCCUUCCCGGAGAGUCGUGUUGGUCCCUAGGUUCCCCUCAAGACGCCGGCAACCGCCCCCUCCCUUAACGUCACACCGGGUCCGUUGGGAGCCAAACAGCUGCGGCCUGAUCUGGGAGCGAUAGAAUCUCAUCACUUAGGGUCACUACCGGAAAUGGAGGAAGCCGGACUGGGAGACCUUGAGAGUUGGGAAUCGUAGGACGCAGCUGAAAAUUGGGAAAGAUGUUCUUAGGCUUGUUCUUCCUGUCCAUCUCAGUUAAAUAAUAAUCAUAACUCAUAUAAGUCUAGAAUUUGUCUCAAAGUUAUGCCUACCUGGCUCGUAGGAUGCCAACGUUAAGAGUGAAAAUAGUCAACGCUCUCCCGAGAGAGCACAUGACAAGACAUAAUCUUCAUCAAGACCCUCAGAGGCACAGAAUGCGCACCAAAGAGCCAUCGACGAUAAUAAUUCUUCUACCCAACUUUUAUUUAGUAUUAUUAAAUUUUCAGUAAAUUUA
rnacentral:antisense_RNA from 1 species